rnacentral:misc_RNA from 1 species
UUUCCGUAGGUGAACCUGCGGAAGGAUCAUUAAAAAUAUCACUGAUUGAAGUGAUUUAAUAAUCAUCCUACCUUUGUGAAUUUGUUGUUGUAAUAAUUUUUUUGAUUUUAAAAAAAAAUUAUUUAUGGUUUUGUCUAUCCCUAAAAUUGGUUUGUUGUAGAAAUGAAUCAAUUUAGGGAAUAGGCUUUCAUAAAUAAGUUUUUUUAAAGUCUUAAAGACCUUUUUUAAAAUUAAACUUUUGUAUUCAUUUGUCUAAAAUUUUUUUAAAUAAUUUAAAAACAACUUUUGACAAUGGAUCUCUUGGUUCUCGCAACGAUGAAGAACGCAGCAAAAUGCGAUAAGUAAUGUGAAUUGCAGAAUACGUGAAUCAUCAAAUCUUCGAACGCAUAUUGCACUUUUUUAGUUUACUAAAAAAGUAUGUCUGUUUGAGUAUCAGUAAAAUAUUCUCAUAAAAACAUUUUUGUUUUUAUGGUUAUGAGUGUUUUACAACGAUAAACAAGUUGUUUCACUUUAAAUUCAUUUUAAUUUAAGACCAUUUUGGUUUAAUAAAAAAUUGGAUAAAAUUUUCCCGUAAAAAGGAAUAAACUUUUCAGUUUUUUAAUUAUUACCAACAACGGUCCGAUUUAAAAGGAAAUUUAUUUAAAUAACUUGAUCUCAAAUCAGAUAAGAGUACCGCUGAACUUAAGCAUAUCAAUAAGCGGAGGAAAAGAAACUAACAAGGAUUCCUUAGUAACGGCGAGUGAAGCGGGAAGAGCUCAAAUUUGAAAUCUUCAAGGUUCUACCUUGACGAAUUGUAGUUUAAAGAAGUGUUUUCUGUUAGAUGAGUAGCAAAAGUUCCUUGGAAUGGGACAUCAUAGAGGGUGAGAAUCCGUAUUUGGUUAUUCAUUCUAGCUUUGUGAUACACUUUCAAAGAGUCGGAUUGUUUGGGAAUGCAGUCCAAAAUGGGUGGUAAAUUUCAUCUAAGCUAAAUAUUGGCGAGAGACCGAUAGCGAACAAGUACCGUGAGGAAAGAUGAAAAGAACUUUGAAAAGAGAGUUAAACAGUACGUGAAAUUGUCAAAAGGGAAGCGUUUGACACCAGUGUUGUUUUUCCGAAAAUCAAUUACGAAUGGCUUGAUUUUGUGUUGUAUUGACCUUAUCAGCUUUCUCACUUUUUUCGAGUCUUUCUUAAUGCACUUUUCGGUUAACAAGUCAACAUCAAUUUCUUUUGUUGUAAAAGAGUAUUCGGAAGGUGGCUUUCUUUUCGGAGAAAGUGUUUAUAGCCCUAUACUUCUACAAUCGGAGAGAUUGAGGUCUGCAGCGUAGAUCCUUCGGGUUAGAUACAUUUGUGCUAAGUUGUAGCUUUUCAUAGACAACUUGUUGACUAUGUUUAGUCAUGCGGCUUACUCGCUUAUGCUAUUUACCUACGCUUAGGAUGUUG